rfam:TPA: Bos taurus chromosome 17, whole genome shotgun sequence.
UCCCUGGUAGCUCAGUGGGUAAAGAAUCUGCCUGCAAUGCAGGAGACCCUGGUUCAAUUCCUGGUUGGGAAG